rnacentral:rRNA from 1 species
UACAGAGGGUGCGAGCGUUAAUCGGAAUUACUGGGCGUAAAGCGCGCGUAGGCGGCUUGUUAAGUCGGAUGUGAAAUCCCUGGGCUCAACCUAGGCAUUGCAUUCGAUACUGGCAAGCUAGAGUAUGGGAGAGGAAGGUAGAAUUCCGGGUGUAGUGGUGAAAUGCGUAGAGAUCCGGAGGAACACCAGUGGCGAAGGCGACACGCUGGGCCGUACCUGACACUGAUGCGCGACAGCAUGGGGAGCAAACAGG